ncrna:unclassified sequences AdoCbl variant RNA
UAGUUGAAAUGCAUGGUGGGAAAUAAAUGAGUAUUUCAUUUGCUGUACCUGCAACCGUAUAGUCGGAGCGCCACCCAACUA